GGGGGGGGCAGGGUAAAAAAAAAACCCUUUUAUCAGCCAUAGGUUAAUGCAAGUGUUUAACAGAUGCUUCGCUAUUAAAAUAUUUCCCCCCAAUACUGAAGAAUCUUAAACCAGCAACCCUAACAGAGAUUGCGAAGAUUUUCAAAGUGGGGCACCUCGAUUUCUCGAAUCUGUGGUGUGGCGAAUAUCCGUGUUCCUCCUGCUUAACUAGCCUGUUUGAAGGCACAGUUCAUUCUCGAGCAAUUCGUCACCUCCUGGGGGUCUUCUCUUCCCGUCUACAGGAGAGUGUGACUUCAGAAAGAACUUCGGAUUGGCCAAGGCAGGUCUGAUUCUAUUUAUUCUAAAGACAGAGUUGGAGAUGGGCUACCAUUGGUGUUGAUUGAGAUGACAAGCAGUCACCUGAGCCCAUACAGCUGGGUUCACAGAUGUGGCUAGUCUUGCUAGCCAGCUCGCACUGUGGACAUUCUAGGGAACUGACUGCAGUCCUCAUGCUUGGAGUCAAACACUUUAACCACUGCACACGUUUAUGUAAUAGGAUUGACAUAUGAGAAUCAGAGAAAUGAAUGAAAGAUUAGAGUGGGAGAAAGUGCUUGCUGCCAAGCUUGAUGACCUAAAUUGAAUACCUGGAACCUACACGACAGAAAGAGAGAGCUGACUGCUGAAAGAUGUCCUCAGAUCUUCACAUGUGCACAGUGGCACCUAUCCAACCAUGC
rnacentral:lncRNA from 1 species